AAGUCGUAACAAGGUUUCCGUAGGUGAACCUGCGGAAGGAUCAUUAAAAAUGAAGCCGGGAAACCGGUCCUUCUCACCCUUGAUUAUCUCAAUUUGUUGCUUUGGUGGGCCGCGCAAGCACCGGCUUCGGCUGGAUCGUGCCCGCCAGAGGACCACAACUCUGUAUUACAUGUCGUCUGAGUACUAUAAAAUAGUUAAAACUUUCAACAACGGAUCUCUUGGUUCUG
rnacentral:misc_RNA from 1 species